GUCGAGCGAACAGAUAAGGAGCUUGCUCCUUUGACGUUAGCGGCGGACGGGUGAGUAACACGUGGGUAACCUACCUAUAAGACUGGGAUAACUUCGGGAAACCGGAGCUAAUACCGGAUAAUAUUUCGAACCGCAUGGUUCGAUAGUGAAAGAUGGUUUUGCUAUCACUUAUAGAUGGACCCGCGCCGUAUUAGCUAGUUGGUAAGGUAACGGCUUACCAAGGCGACGAUACGUAGCCGACCUGAGAGGGUGAUCGGCCACACUGGAACUGAGACACGGUCCAGACUCCUACGGGAGGCAGCAGUAGGGAAUCUUCCGCAAUGGGCGAAAGCCUGACGGAGCAACGCCGCGUGAGUGAUGAAGGUCUUCGGAUCGUAAAACUCUGUUAUUAGGGAAGAACAUACGUGUAAGUAACUGUGCACGUCUUGACGGUACCUAAUCAGAAAGCCACGGCUAACUACGUGCCAGCAGCCGCGGUAAUACGUAGGUGGCAAGCGUUAUCCGGAAUUAUUGGGCGUAAAGCGCGCGUAGGCGGUUUUUUAAGUCUGAUGUGAAAGCCCACGGCUCAACCGUGGAGGGUCAUUGGAAACUGGAAAACUUGAGUGCAGAAGAGGAAAGUGGAAUUCCAUGUGUAGCGGUGAAAUGCGCAGAGAUAUGGAGGAACAUCAGUGGCGAAGGCGACUUUCUGGUCUGUAACUGACGCUGAUGUGCGAAAGCGUGGGGAUCAAACAGGAUUAGAUACCCUGGUAGUCCACGCCGUAAACGAUGAGUGCUAAGUGUUAGGGGGUUUCCGCCCCUUAGUGCUGCAGCUAACGCAUUAAGCACUCCGCCUGGGGAGUACGACCGCAAGGUUGAAACUCAAAGGAAUUGACGGGGACCCGCACAAGCGGUGGAGCAUGUGGUUUAAUUCGAAGCAACGCGAAGAACCUUACCAAAUCUUGACAUCCUUUGACAACUCUAGAGAUAGAGCUUUCCCCUUCGGGGGACAAAGUGACAGGUGGUGCAUGGUUGUCGUCAGCUCGUGUCGUGAGAUGUUGGGUUAAGUCCCGCAACGAGCGCAACCCUUAAGCUUAGUUGCCAUCAUUAAGUUGGGCACUCUAAGUUGACUGCCGGUGACAAACCGGAGGAAGGUGGGGAUGACGUCAAAUCAUCAUGCCCCUUAUGAUUUGGGCUACACACGUGCUACAAUGGACAAUACAAAGGGCAGCGAAACCGCGAGGUCAAGCAAAUCCCAUAAAGUUGUUCUCAGUUCGGAUUGUAGUCUGCAACUCGACUACAUGAAGCUGGAAUCGCUAGUAAUCGUAGAUCAGCAUGCUACGGUGAAUACGUUCCCGGGUCUUGUACACACCGCCCGUCACACCACGAGAGUUUGUAACACCCGAAGCCGGUGGAGUAACCA
rnacentral:rRNA from 1 species